UGAACGCUGGCGGCAGGCCUAACACAUGCAAGUCGAGCGGCAGCACGGGUACUUGUACCUGGUGCGAGCGGCGGGACGGGUGAGGAACUACGUAGGAAUUUGCCCAUUAGUGGGGGACAACCCGGCGAAAGCCGGGCUAAUACCGCAUACGCUCUACGGAGGAAAACGGGGGAUCGUAAGACCUCGUGCUAAUGGAUGAGCCUACGUCGGAUUAGCUAGUUGGUAGGGUAACGGCCUACCAAGGCGACGAUCCGUAGCUGGUCUGAGAGGACGAUCAGCCACACUGGGACUGAGACACGGCCCAGACUCCUACGGGAGGCAGCAGUGGGGAAUAUUGGACAAUGGGGGCAACCCUGAUCCAGCAAUGCCGCGUGUGUGAAGAA
rnacentral:rRNA from 1 species